GCUCCUUGCGGUUACCCCACCGGCUUCGGGUGUUGUAAACUCUCGUGGUGUGACGGGCGGUGUGUACAAGACCCGGGAACGUAUUCACCGCGGCAUGCUGAUCCGCGAUUACUAGCAAUUCCGACUUCAUGCAGGCGAGUUGCAGCCUGCAAUCCGAACUGAGACCGACUUUGAUAGGAUUGGCUCCACCUCGCGGUUUCGCUUCCCGUUGUAUCGGCCAUUGUAGUACGUGUGUAGCCCAGGUCAUAAGGGGCAUGAUGAUUUGACGUCAUCCCCACCUUCCUCCGGUUUGUCACCGGCAGUCAUCCUAGAGUGCCCACCUUAA
rnacentral:rRNA from 1 species